GUCGAGCUUAGUAACGUGGGCUUGUGAUCCUAGUGGAGACAAUAAGUUGAUGGAACUUUGGACCAGUUUCUAUGAAGCGUACCGGUCUCUUGACCCGGGUGUGUGCGGGGUUAUAUAUACUGAGCUCUUGCCCUCUUCUAAUACGAGUGUGCAUGCCAGUGUCUUCUUCGCGUACAACUUCAAUCUAGCUGGUUUCAUUGGACCAUCAUCUUU
rnacentral:SRP_RNA from 1 species